rnacentral:misc_RNA from 1 species
UAAAUCCGAGAAUUUCACCUCUGACAGUUAAAUACGAAUGCCCCCAACUAUCCCUAUUAAUCAUUACCUCAGCUCUAGAAACCAACAAAAUAGAACCGAGGUCCUAUCUCAUUAUUCCAUGCUAAUGUAUUCAAGGCGUGCGCCUGCUUGAAACACUCUAAUUUCCUCAAAGUAAAAGUCCUGGAUACCGUACCACACAGUGAAGUGCAGCAACGUUCUCCAAGAAGAUGCCAAGGCCGAACUAGAUACUCACCCAGUGGGCGGACCAGUCGUCCUCAACAGAAAUCCAACUACGAGCUUUUUAACCGCAACAACUUUAAUAUACGCUAUUGGAGCUGGAAUUACCGC